rnacentral:rRNA from 1 species
UACGGAAGGGGCAAGCGUUGUUCGGAAUCAUUGGGCGUAAAGGGCGCGUAGGCGGCUUUGUAAGUUAGGGGUGAAAGCCCGGGGCUCAACUCCGGAAUUGCCUUUAAGACUGCAUCGCUAGAAUUGUGGAGAGGUAAGUGGAAUUCCGAGUGUAGAGGUGAAAUUCGUAGAUAUUCGGAAGAACACCAGUGGCGAAGGCGACUUACUGGACACAUAUUGACGCUGAGGUGCGAAAGCGUGGGGAGCAAACAGG